AACGAACGCUGGCGGCAGGCUUAACACAUGCAAGUCGAACGCAUCCUUCGGGGUGAGUGGCAGACGGGUGAGUAACGCGUGGGAACGUGCCCUUCAGUUCGGGAUAACCCAGGGAAACUUGGGCUAAUACCGGAUACGUGCGAGAGCAGAAAGAUUUAUCGCUGAAGGAUCGGCCCGCGUCUGAAUAGCUAGUUGGUGGGGUAAUGGCCCACCAAGGCGACGAUCAGUAGCUGGUCUGAAAGGAUGAUCAGCCACAUUGGGACUGAGACACGGCCAAACUCCUACGGGAGGCAGCAGUGGGGAAUAUUGGACAAUGGGCGCAAGCCUGAUCCAGCCAUGCCGCGUGAGUGAUGAAGGCCUUAGGGUUGUAAAGCUCUUUCGUCCGGGACGAUAAUGACGGUACCGGAAGAAGAAGCCCCGGCUAACUUCGUGCCAGCAGCCGCCGUAA
rnacentral:rRNA from 1 species